rnacentral:rRNA from 1 species
GACAGAGGGUGCAAACGUUUGUUCGGAAUUACUGGGCGUAAAGCGCGUGGUAGGCGGCAGGCAUGUCGGAUGUGGAAAUCCCGUGGCUCAACCACGGAAGUGCACCGAAACUGCCCAGCUUGAGUCUCGGAGAGGAAGGCGGAAUGCUUGGAUGUAGUAGGUGAAAUUCGUAAGAUAUCAAGCGGAACAGCCGGUAGGCGAAGGCGGCCGAUUCUGGACGAUGGACUGACGCUGGAAGACGGCGAAAGCGUGGGGAGCAAACAGG